UACGAAGGGGGCUAGCGUUGCUCGGAAUCACUGGGCGUAAAGCGCACGUAGGCGGACUCUUAAGUCGGUGGUGAAAUCCUGGGGCUCAACUCCAGAACUGCCUUUGAUACUGGGGAUCUCGAGUCCGGGAGAGGUGAGUGGAACUGCGAGUGUAGAGGUGAAAUUCGUAGAUAUUCGCAAGAACACCAGUGGCGAAGGCGGCUCACUGGCCCGGUACUGACGCUGAGGUGCGAAAGCGUGGGGAGCAAACAGG
rnacentral:rRNA from 1 species